rnacentral:rRNA from 1 species
GACGAACGCUGGCGGCGUGCUUAACACAUGCAAGUCGAACGGAAAGGCCCUGCUUUUGUGGGGUGCUCGAGUGGCGAGCGGGUGAGUAACACGUGAGUAACCUGCCCUUGACUUUGGGAUAACUUCAGGAAACUGGGGCUAAUACCGGAUAGGAGCUCCUGCUGCAUGGUGGGGGUUGGAAAGUUUCGGCGGUUGGGGAUGGACUCGCGGCUUAUCAGCUUGUUGGUGGGGUAGUGGCUUACCAAGGCUUUGACGGGUAGCCGGCCUGAGAGGGUGACCGGCCACAUGGGGACUGAGAUACGGCCCAGACUCCUACGGGAGGCAGCAGUGGGGAAUAUUGCACAAUGGGCGGAAGCCUGAUGCAGCAACGCCGCGUGCGGGAUGACGGCCUUCGGGUUGUAAACCGCUUUCGCCUGUGACGAAGCGUGAGUGACGGUAAUGGGUAAAGAAGCACCGGCUAACUACGUG